rnacentral:rRNA from 1 species
AUUGAACGCUGGCGGCAGGCCUAACACAUGCAAGUCGAGCGGAUGACGGGAGCUUGCUCCUUGAUUCAGCGGCGGACGGGUGAGUAAUGCCUAGGAAUCUGCCUGGUAGUGGGGGACAACGUUUCGAAAGGAACGCUAAUACCGCAUACGUCCUACGGGAGAAAGCAGGGGACCUUCGGGCCUUGCGCUAUCAGAUGAGCCUAGGUCGGAUUAGCUAGUUGGUGGGGUAAUGGCUCACCAAGGCGACGAUCCGUAACUGGUCUGAGAGGAUGAUCAGUCACACUGGAACUGAGACACGGUCCAGACUCCUACGGGAGGCAGCAGUGGGGAAUAUUGGACAACGGGCGAAAGCCUGAUCCAGCCAUGCCGCGUGUGUGAAGAAGGUCUUCGGAUUGUAAAGCACUUUAAGUUGGGAGGAAGGGCAGUAAGCUAAUACCUUGCUGUUUUGACGUUACCGACAGAAUAAGCACCGGCUAACUCUGUGCCAGCAGCCGCAGUAAAAC